rnacentral:rRNA from 1 species
UACGUAGGUGGCAAGCGUUGUCCGGAUUUACUGGGCGUAAAGAGCGCGCAGGCGGUCGGAUCAGUCGAAUGUGAAAGCCCCCGGCUCAACUGGGGAGGGUCAUUCGAUACUGUCCGACUCGAAGGCAGGAGAGGGAAGCGGAAUUCCCGGUGUAGUGGUGAAAUGCGUAGAUAUCGGGAGGAACACCAGUGGCGAAGGCGGCCGACUGGGCCGACCCUGGACGCU